AUAUUGGACAAUGGGCGAAGGCCUGAUCAAGCCAUGCCGCGUGUGUGAAGAAGGUCUUCGUAUUGUAAAGCACCUUAUGUGGGGUGGAAGGGCAGAAAGUUAAUACCGUGCUGUUUUGACGUUAGCGACAGAAUAAGCACCUGCUAACUUCGCGCCUGCAGCCGCGGUCAUACGAAGGGUGCACGUGUUAAUCGGAAUUACUGGGCGUAAAGCGCGCGUAGGUGGUUUGUUAAGUUGGAAGUGAAAGCCCCGGGCUCAACCUGGGAACUGCUUUCAAAACUGGCAAGCUAGAGUAUGGCAGAGGGUGGUGGAGUUUCCUGUGUAGCGGUGAAAUGCGUAGAUAUAGGAAGGAACACCAGUGGCGAAGGCGACUACCUGGACUGAUACUGACACUGAGGUGCGAAAGCGUGGGGAGCAAAC
rnacentral:rRNA from 1 species